GCUUUGGGAUUCGAUUAAGCCAUGCAAGUCGAACGAGUUUAGGCUCGUGGCGUACGGCUCAGUAACACUGGAUAACCACCCUUAGGACUGGGAUAACCCUGGGAAACUGGGAUAAUACUGGAUAGGCAAUUAUUCCUGUAAUGGUUUUUUGUUUAAAUGUUUUUUCGCCUAAGGAUGGGUCUGCGGCCGAUUAGGUAGUUGGUUAGUAAUGGCUUACCAAGCCUUUGAUCGGUACGGGUUGUGAGAGCAAGAGCCCGGAGAUGGAACCUAGACAGGUUCCAGGCCCUACGGGGUGCAGCAGGCGCGAAACUCCCAAUGUGAGAAAUCGCGACGGGGGGAUCCCAAGUGCCAUUCUUAACGGGAUGGCUUUUCAUUAGUGUAAAGAGCUUUUGGAAUAAGAGCUGGGCAAGACCGUGCCAGCCGCCGCGGUACACCGGCAGCUCUAGUGGUAGCAGUUUUUAUGGGCCUAAAGCGUCCGUACCGGUUUAAUAAGUCUCUGGUGAAAUCCUGCAGCUUAACUGUGGGAAUUGCUGGAGAUACUAUUAGACUUGAGAUCGGGAGAGGUUAGAGGUACUCCCAGGGUAGAGGUGAAAUUCUGUAAUCCUGGGAGGACCGCCUGUUGCGAAGGCGUCUGACUGGACGAUUCUGACGGUGAGGGAGAAAGCUAGGGGCGCGAACCGGAUUAGACCGGUAGUCCUAGCUGUAAACGAUGCGGACUUGGUGUUGGGGUGGCUUUGACUGUCCCAGUGCCGAAGGGAAGCUGUUAAGUCCGCCGCCUGGGAAGUACGGUCGCAAGACUGAAACUUAAAGGAUUGGCGGGGGAGCACCACACGCGUGGAGCCUGCGGUUUAAUUGGAUUCAACGCCGGACAUCUCACCAGAGGCGACAGCUGUAUGAAGCCAGGUUGAUGACUUUGCUUGACUAGCUGAGAGGAGGUGCAUGGCCGCCGUCAGCUCGACCGUGAGGCGUCCUGUUAAGUCAGGCAACGAGCGAGACCCACCUCUUAGUUACCAGCGGACCUUUUUUGGAUGCCGGGCACACUAAGGGGACCGCCUAUGAUAAAUAGGAGGAAGGAGUGGACGACGGUAGGUCCGUAUGCCCGAAUCCUCGGGCAACACGCGGUACAAUGGCUGAGACAAUGGGUUCCGACGCCGAAAGGCGGAGGUAAUCCUCUAACUUAGUCGUAGUUCGGAUUGAGGACUGUACUCGUUCUCAUGAAGCUGGAUGCGUAGUAAUCGCGUGUCACAUGCGCGGGAUACGUCCCUGCUCCUGACACACCGCCCGUCACCACCCAAAAG
rnacentral:rRNA from 1 species